CAGCUAGGUCCAUGCUUAUAAACACUUAUGUGUCAGACUGCUAGUGCGGUACUAGCUCGUGAUCUUAUAAUGGAUCACUUGAUUACUCUCCCAUUCCCAGGGUAUAUUUCUCCUCUCUAAUCCAAGCCGCCAGCCAUUCCUUCUUCCCAACGCUAGCCAUCACAAUCCCCUCCAAUUACCCUCGUUGUCACUGGAGUACGUAGUGGCGGAGCCAACUGAUAAGAUCAUUAGGUUCAGUACUGUUUUUGGUGCAAUCUUCUAUCGAUGAACAAUGCCAAAGACUAACUCACUGAAGCUUUGGUGAAUUUUAUUGGGCUAUAUCGAACCCAAAUGCUUGCAUAGCAUCUCCUCCCUGCGCAAGAGUACGCCACAACCGAAUGCCUUGUGAUUGAUCGCAGUGAUAGAUGCUCUCGCCGAUCCCGCUAUGGUGGCCCGGCCAUGGGCCGUCUGUCGGCGGGUUCACUUCCGUCGAGGGAGUUGCAGACAUUGGCCACGCUGUGGAUAGCCGCAGACCACGGUGGCGCUCACCGCUCUCCUCCUAUCGUGUCCAACAAUGUUGAUAGCUCGGUGCCCGAGUUGAUGUCCCCAGUUGGUAGUCGCAGGAGCAAUGUGGCGAUGCAGCCGGUGUGGCUACUACGUGCGAGCAUUUGUCCGGUUUCGAUGUGGGCUUCUUGGUGGCACAGCACUGACGUGUUUUCAGAAGGAUUUUCUAUGCCAAUUCGGUUGCCAUGACCGAAACAACCAGCAACACAACUGCCUGCAAUAUGGUCUUCAUUGGUUAGGUACUUGGGUCAAGCAAUCCGUGAUCUGUUAUUCCUUGUUAGACCUGGCAGACAACACUCGUGUGUCAAUGUGUCAUCUCCUUCCUAAAGAGGCAUUGUCUUGCAGUUUUGGAAGCUACGGGUGGUUCGGUCUUCACUAGUUAAUUUGUCCAGACAGGCGCGUGAGCUCUAGGUGAUAACCUUUGUUUUGCCUUGGCAUAAUGGCAUGCUAUAACAAUGUUCUCACAACUAGCAUGGUGGCCCACGCGAAAUACGCGGGCUAGACCUGAUGAUCGUUGGUGUAUUAUUUUUUUUACGUGUGCCGAUGAUUUUUUCAUUUUGUACCUUUUUUAAUUUCCUGCCAUACUGGUAUAUUCUCUCUGGUCGGGUUUAUAAAACCUGCACGUUAUUUUAUAACGGACUUUGGCGAAACAUUGCUUGAUAAUACGACGUUAUCGCGACACAAAAGAGAUAUCGUUGUAUCUGUAUUGGAAAACUCAAUAAAUAGUAUAACGUUUACAUACCUAUAUUUUUUUGUAUAAUUGUUUAUCAAAAUUUGACAAAAAAUUCAAUGCAAGUGUUAUAAGUCCGGAUGGAGGGAGUAUGAUUCACUGAUAUUGGAUUUUGUCCGAUACAUAUCUAUUCAUCCUGAUUUUAGUUCUAAAAUCGAAGACAUAAAACUUUUAUACCUAAGGGCUUUCACGGCGUGCCAAAAGCCAAAUUUCCCACAUAGGUCUAAAAGCCAAACUGCUUAUUCUCUGGUGAAGCCAAAUUUGAUGCUAAAUUUUAGUUUACCUGUAGUGCAGAUAAUGCCAGACCUGCACGUAGAUGGGACCCGCAAAAGAAUGAAUGAAUUACUCAUUUCUCUUAUCUUUUCUUUUCCCCAACCUCACUUUCCCAUCAAAUUCUCAGACCCCAACUCCGUCAGCGCCCCACUUCACCACCUCCGCUCGCGGCCCUGCACCUCCCCCGCUCCUCCGCCGCGCGCCCUCUGCACCACCUCCG
rnacentral:lncRNA from 1 species